UAUGUAGGGUGCAAGCGUUAAUCGGAAUUACUGGGCGUAAAGCGUGCGCAGGCGGUUGUGCAAGACAGAUGUGAAAUCCCCGGGCUCAACCUGGGAAUUGCAUUUGUGACUGCACGGCUGGAGUGUGUCAGAGGGGGGUAGAAUUCCACGUGUAGCAGUGAAAUGCGUAGAGAUGUGGAGGAAUACCGAUGGCGAAGGCAGCCCCCUGGGAUAACACUGACGCUCAUGCACGAA
rnacentral:rRNA from 1 species